rnacentral:rRNA from 1 species
UACGUAGGGGGCAAGCGUUGUCCGGAAUUAUUGGGCGUAAAGCGCGCGCAGGCGGUCCUUCAAGACUGAUGUGAAAGCCCACGGCUCAACCGUGGAGGGUCAUUGGAAACUGGGGGACUUGAGUACAGAAGAGGAAAGUGGAAUUCCACGUGUAGCGGUGAAAUGCGUAGAGAUGUGGAGGAACACCAGUGGCGAAGGCGACUUUCUGGUCUGUAACUGACGCUGAGGCGCGAAAGCGUGGGGAGCAAACAGG